rnacentral:rRNA from 1 species
GAUCAUGGCUCAGGAUGAACGCUAGCGACAGGCUUAACACAUGCAAGUCGAGGGGCAGCGGGGAGUAGCAAUACUUCGCCGGCGACCGGCGCACGGGUGAGUAACACGUGUGCAACCAACCCCGUACCGGGAGAUAACCCGCGGAAACGUGGACUAACAUCCCAUAAUACUGGAGGAUCGCAUGAUCUUUCAUUUAAAAUUACCGGUGGUACGGGACGGGCACGCGCGACAUUAGGUAGUUGGCGGGGUAACGGGCCCACCAA